UGGAGGACUGAGAAGGUGAGGCAGUCUCAUACCAUACUGCUUUCUACUGGUUAAGACCUCCAACAGCGAAGGGUUGCCCAGGCAGAGGAUGUCCCUCUGCCAACUUCGGAGGGGCAGCACUGUGCUGGCCGACAUUUG
rnacentral:snoRNA from 17 species